GAAAACCAAAGGAAAAAGAUAAAAUAUUUUAAGGCACUGACAUUGGCAGUUCAGAAGAUCACUCCAAAAUGGUAAAUGUACUAUGGUAUGCAGUCAACCAAGUCUUAAUCUCAAAGUGUUUGGAAGUCUCAUGAUUGUUCUACUCCUAAAAAGUUGUCUUCCAUUGUUAUUAUUUGUCUGCUGUUAUAUUCUCUCUGUAUCUGGAAAUGAAAGUAAAAACUGAAAAGUUUUUGCAUUUCUGUGACAGGGUUAUGCUGCCAUUCCUGGU
rnacentral:misc_RNA from 1 species